AUAAAAUCAAAGUUUCAUCAGGGCUGUGUUCCCUUUGGAGGCCCUGGAGGAAAAUCAUUUCGUUGCCUCUUCCAGCUUCUUGAGGCCUCCUGCAUUCCUUGGCUCAUGGCCCCUUCUUCCAUCUUUCAAACCAACAAGUCUUUCUCAGGCUGCACUGCUCUGACGCUCCUCCUCUGUAAUCACACCUCUGUCUGCCUCCCUCGUCUAAGGACACCAGUGACCACAUUGGACUGACCUGCAUAAUCCAGGCUCGUCUUCCCACCUCAAGAUCCUCAAUUUAUCACAUUCUGUGGCGUCCUUUUGCCAUGUUGGGAAUAUAUUCACAAUUUCCAGGGACUCAGACGUCAACAUCUUUGGAAGGGCCAUUAUUCAGCCUACCAUGUAGUACAUCCUUUUAAAAACACACAUAUCCAAUCCCAUUACUCCUCUGCCUAAAAUUCUUAGACGAUGAGAGCCUCUCAGGGCUGGAGGUGCCAUACAAGGGCUGCCCACACCCCUUCCCUGCCUCUCCCUACCUCCUCUGUCCCUACCCAGUCUCUGGCUUGCUGUCUGUGUUCCAGCCUUUGCACAGGAUAUAUUUUUUACCCCACACUCCAUUCCAGGCCUUCCCGAGGCUUCAGACAAGAUGGCAGCACGCUCUGGACUUCUCUGCCCGGCAAGCAGCCCUGAGGCUGGACAGCAGGGAAGCAAGAAAAUGGACUCCCCUCUGCAGCCUGCAAUGGUCACGUGGCUGGUCGAGGUUGGAUCUCCCAGAGACCAGGGCAUAUACAUACAUGUGUGCCCUGGCCCGAAUCCUCAGAUCACCAAGGCUUUGGCCACCUCCACCCUUGUGUGACACUGUGAGUCUAUACGUGACUGCAUUUGUUUGUCAGUGUCACUCCCUGGGCUGAACCGAUAAGGGGGUGAAGGGGGACUUUGGGUAAGUCGCUUCCCAGCCUUUCGGAAGCCCUGGGAAAGCAGCGGCAGGCACCCUGCCAGGCCUCUGUGGUCCGCACUGCGGCAGUCCAGGCACGAUCCAAGAGCUGCAGACACUGCCCUGGGGAGUUUCGGAGCUACAGGUCCCUGGGCAAGACUUUCCUCCCAAGUGGGAGCCACAGGGCUGAUCGUGAUCCAGGCAGGCAUCAGCACAGCUGCUGCCACAGCACAAGUUGACUCUUGUCACCCCCCUGAUCCUCUAGCGCAGGCAGAAGGAUAUGAGGCCUCGGUCUGUACCGUAGUUUUCCAUUCAUUCCUUUGCUCACUCCUUCACAGAGUACCCAGCAAAUAAGUAAGCACCUAAGAUGUCCUGAGCGAGCUUGAGGCAACACACAAAACAACCCAGGUCCCUGGGUUGCCCUUGCUUGACCCUUCUGGUCUCACCUGUGGAAUUUGACUAGGCAGAGCAUCCUUGUCCAGAGGGAGGGAGAAAGGAAAAAAACAAGUUAUUGAGGGUCUUUCUCAUCUUGGUGGUCUCUGAUUCUGUAGACAGAUCCCACAGAAUAUUCUUUAAUGGAUUAGGCAUAUCCCUUAAAUCAUGUCCGGGGGUUGGGUUGCGAUCUGUAUUUCUAUUAU
ensembl:lncRNA